UACGUAGGAUGCAAGCGUUGUUCGGAAUUAUUGGGUGUAAAGGGCGCGUAGGCGGUCUGAUAAGUCAUGGGUGAAAGCCCUCGGCUCAACCGAGGAAUUGCCCAUGAUACUGUCGGACUAGAGUACGGGAGAGGGAAGUGGAAUUCCUGGUGUAGCGGUGAAAUGCGUAGAUAUCAGGAGGAACACCGGUGGCGAAGGCGGCUUCCUGGACCGAUACUGACGCUGAGGCGCGAAAGCGUGGGUAGCAAAC
rnacentral:rRNA from 1 species